GAUGAAGAACGUAGUGAAAUGCGAUAAGUAGUGUGAAUUGCAGAAUUCAGUGAAUCAUCGAAUCUUUGAACGCACAUUGCGCCCGCCAGUAUUCUGGCGGGCAUGCCUGUCCGAGCGUCAUUUCAACCCUCAAGCCCCCGGGCUUGGUGUUGGAGAUCGGCGAGCCCCCCGGGGCGCGCCGUCUCCCAAAUAUAGUGGCGGUCCCGCUGUAGCUUCCUCUGCGUAGUAGCACACCUCGCACUGGGAAACAGCGUGGCCACGCCGUAAAACCCCCCACUUCUGAAAGGUUGACCUCGGAUCAGGUAGGAAUACCCGCUGAACUUAAGCAUAUCAAUAAGCGGAGGA
rnacentral:misc_RNA from 1 species